ensembl:lncRNA
CUGACCGCCUGAUGGCCAGGGGCCGCUCCCAGCCACCCUCGGACCCUGGAGAAGGUCCGGUGCCUCCUCAGGAGCAGGAAGACCUGGGAGAGGGAGGCAGAGUCUUGCAGGGCCUAGACUCUGCUGCUGAUUUGAAGUUGGGAUAUUUUCCCUGCCAACUUUUGACCCCAAUGUCUGCAUCAUUCUGCCCCAAUGAUGAGGGUGAGGAUCAGUAUGAAAACACUGAUGAAGAGGAAGAGGAUGGAAAUGAAAAACCUGAAGGACUCUAAAUGGAUGUGGUCUCAGCAAAGAGCAGCUCUGGAUAAUACAGUUUUCAUGCAUGUGGAUGUUUGAUAAAGCCUCAUCCUCAUUUUACACAUGUGGAAACUGAAGUGGGAAGGCAUAGAAAAAGCAGACAGCAAAAGAAAAGAUGAAUCUGUUCUUCAUGGAUAUUCUUGUUUUCAUUAGCCUGAAAUACUAAUUUUGUUUCAAAGUUUCAAUGCCCCAAAGUGAUACUAACUACUGACAUCUGACUUUACUCUUACCUUUUACAGAUAAUUUGAUAGUAUUGUUCACAUUGGAAAUAAAAGCUUGUUUGAAAGUAAUAAGCUGUAGUUUUGUUUUGUUUUGUUUUUUCCACAUUAAUACCACUGAC